rnacentral:rRNA from 1 species
CUAUAAUGCAGUCGAGCGAACGGACGAGAGUGCUUGCACUCUCCGAAGUUAGCGGCGGACGGGUGAGUAACACGUGGGUAACCUACCUAUAAGACUGGGAUAACUUCGGGAAACCGGAGCUAAUACCGGAUAAUAUUUAGCUUCGCAUGAAGCAAUAGUGAAAGACGGUUCUGCUGUCACUUAUAGAUGGACCCGCGGUGUAUUAGCUAGUUGGUGAGGUAACGGCUCACCAAGGCAACGAUACAUAGCCGACCUGAGAGGGUGAUCGGCCACACUGGGACUGAGACACGGCCCAGACUCCUACGGGAGGCAGCAGUAGGGAAUCUUCCGCAAUGGACGAAAGUCUGACGGAGCAACGCCGCGUGAGUGAAGAAGGUUUUCGGAUCGUAAAACUCUGUUGUAAGGGAAGAACAAGUACGUUAGUAACUGAACGUACCUUGACGGUACCUUACCAGAAAGCCACGGCUAACUACGUGCCAGCAGCCGCGGUAAUACGUAGGUGGCAAGCGUUAUCCGGAAUUAUUGGGCGUAAAGCGCGCGUAGGCGGUCUCUUAAGUCUGAUGUGAAAGCCCCCGGCUCAACCGGGGAGGGUCAUUGGAAACUGGGAGACUUGAGUGCAGAAGAGGAGAGUGGAAUUCCAUGUGUAGCGGUGAAAUGCGCAGAGAUAUGGAGGAACACCAGUGGCGAAGGCGGCUCUCUGGUCUGUAACUGACGCUGAGGUGCGAAAGCGUGGGGAUCAAACAGGAUUAGAUACCCUGGUAGUCCACGCCGUAAACGAUGAGUG